AGCGAACGCUGGCGGCAGGCCUAACACAUGCAAGUCGAACGGAUCCUUCGGGAUUAGUGGCGGACGGGUGAGUAACACGUGGGAACGUGCCUUUUGGUUCGGAACAACUCAGGGAAACUUGAGCUAAUACCGGAUGUGCCCUUCGGGGGAAAGAUUUAUCGCCAUUAGAGCGGCCCGCGUCUGAUUAGUUUGUUGGUGAG
rnacentral:rRNA from 1 species